UACGAAGGGGGCUAGCGUUGUUCGGAUUUACUGGGCGUAAAGCGCACGUAGGCGGAUCGUUAAGUCGGGGGUGAAAUCCUGGAGCUCAACUCCAGAACUGCCUUCGAUACUGGCGAUCUUGAGUCCGGAAGAGGUGAGUGGAAUUCCUAGUGUAGAGGUGGAAUUCGUAGAUAUUAGGAAGAACACCAGCGGCGAAGGCGGCUCACUGGUCCGGUACUGACGCUGAGGUGCGAAAGCGUGGGGAGCAAACAGG
rnacentral:rRNA from 1 species